rnacentral:rRNA from 1 species
UACGUAGGGGGCAAGCGUUGUCCGGAUUUAUUGGGCGUAAAGAGCGUGUAGGCGGCCAGGUAGGUGGGUUGUGAAAACUGGAGGCUCAACCUCGAGAUGUCAUCGGAAACCAUCUGGCUAGAGUCCGGAAGAGGAAAGUGGAAUUCCUGGUGUAGCGGUGAAAUGCGCAGAUAUCAGGAAGAACACCAAUGGCGAAAGCAGCUUUCUGGGACGGUACUGACGCUGAGACGCGAAAGCGUGGGGAGCGAACAGG